UACGUAGGGGGCAAGCGUUGUCCGGAAUCAUUGGGCGUAAAGAGCGCGUAGGCGGCCCUGUAAGUCCGCUGUGAAAGUCAAGGGCUCAACCCUUGGAUGCCGGCGGAUACUGUCGGGCUAGAGUCCGGAAGAGGCGAGUGGAAUUCCCGGUGUAGCGGUGAAAUGCGCAGAUAUCGGGAGGAACACCUAUGGCGAAGGCAGCUCGCUGGGACGGUACUGACGCUUAGACGCGAAAGCGUGGGGAGCAAACAGG
rnacentral:rRNA from 1 species